rnacentral:rRNA from 1 species
AAAUUGAAGAGUUUGAUCAUGGCUCAGAUUGAACGCUGGCGGCAGGCCUAACACAUGCAAGUCGAGCGGUAGCACAGAGAGCUUGCUCUCGGGUGACGAGCGGCGGACGGGUGAGUAAUGUCUGGGAAACUGCCUGAUGGAGGGGGAUAACUACUGGAAACGGUAGCUAAUACCGCAUAACGUCGCAAGACCAAAGUGGGGGACCUUCGGGCCUCAUGCCAUCAGAUGUGCCCAGAUGGGAUUAGCUAGUAGGUGGGGUAACGGCUCACCUAGGCGACGAUCCUAGCUGGUCUGAGAGGAUGACCAGCCACACUGGAACUGAGACACGGUCCAGACUCCUACGGGAGGCAGCAGUGGGGAAUAUUGCACAAUGGGCGCAAGCCUGAUGCAGCCAUGCCGCGUGUGUGAAGAAGGCCUUCGGGUUGUAAAGCACUUUCAGCGGGGAGGAAGGCGAUAAGGUUAAUAACCUUGUCGAUUGACGUUACCCGCAGAAGAAGCACCGGCUAACUCCGUGCCAGCAGCCGCGGUAAUACGGAGGGUGCAAGCGUUAAUCGGAAUUACUGGGCGUAAAGCGCACGCAGGCGGUCUGUCAAGUCGGAUGUGAAAUCCCAGGCUCAACCGGGAACUGCAUUCGAAACUGGCAGGCUAGAGUCUUGUAGAGGGGUAGAAUUCGGUGUAGCGGUGAAAUGCGUAGAGAUCUGGAGGAAUACCGGUGGCGAAGGCGGCCCCCUGGACAAAGACUGACGCUCAGGUGCGAAAGCGUGGGGAGCAAACAGGAUUAGAUACCCUGGUAGUCCACGCCGUAAACGAUGUCGAUUUGGAGGUUGUGCCCUUGAGGCGUGGCUUCCGGAGCUAACGCGUUAAAUCGACCGCCUGGGGAGUACGGCCGCAAGGUUAAAACUCAAAUGAAUUGACGGGGGCCCGCACAAGCGGUGGAGCAUGUGGUUUAAUUCGAUGCAACGCGAAGAACCUUACGGUCUUGACAUCCACAGAACUUUCCAGAGAUGGAUUGGUGCCUUCGGGAACUGUGAGACAGGUGCUGCAUGGCUGUCGUCAGCUCGUGUUGUGAAAUGUUGGGUUAAGUCCCGCAACGAGCGCAACCCUUAUCCUUUGUUGCCAGCGGUUAGGCCGGGAACUCAAAGGAGACUGCCAGUGAUAAACUGGAGGAAGGUGGGGAUGACGUCAAGUCAUCAUGGCCCUUACGACCAGGGCUACACACGUGCUACAAUGGCAUAUACAAAGAGAAGCGACCUCGCGAGAGCAAGCGGACCUCAUAAAGUAUGUCGUAGUCCGGAUUGGAGUCUGCAACUCGACUCCAUGAAGUCGGAAUCGCUAGUAAUCGUAGAUCAGAAUGCUACGGUGAAUACGUUCCCGGGCCUUGUACACACCGCCCGUCACACCAUGGGAGUGGGUUGCAAAAGAAGUAGGUAGCUUAACCUUCGGGAGGGCGCUUACCACUUUGUGAUUCAUGACUGGGGUGAAGUCGUAACAAGGUAACCGUAGGGGAACCUGCGGUUGGAUCACCUCCUUACCUUAAAGAA